rnacentral:rRNA from 1 species
UACGUAGGGUGCGAGCGUUAAUCGGAAUUACUGGGCGUAAAGUGUGCGCAGGUGGCCGCGCAAGUCGAGUGUGAAAUCCCCGAGCUUAACUUGGGAAUUGCGCUCGAAACUACGUGGCUCGAGUGUGGCAGAGGGGGGUGGAAUUCCACGUGUAGCAGUGAAAUGCGUAGAGAUGUGGAGGAACACCGAUGGCGAAGGCAGCCCCCUGGGCUAACACUGACGCUCAGGCACGAAAGCGUGGGGAGCAAACAGG